CCCCUCUCAGGGUCGCACCUGGAGAGUUUCCGCUACUCUACCAGUCUCGACUACAGGAGGGAGAGUCAAGUAGAGGCAUAUCCAUUCCAUUCCUAGCUCGGCCAGUGGCUAGCGAGUGGAAGGCAAUCUAUUACAAGU
rnacentral:snoRNA from 2 species